rnacentral:rRNA from 1 species
CCUACGGGUGGCUGCAGUGGGGAAUAUUGCGCCAUGGGGGCAACCCUGACGCAGCAACGCCGCGUGAUUGAAGAAUGCCUUCGGGUUGUAAAGAUCUUUAUUCGGGGACGUAUUUUGCCGCUACCCUACGUUUACUCUCCUGCUAACUACGUGCAAGCAGCCUCGGUACUACGUAGGGAGCAAGCGUUAUCCGGAUUUACUGGGUUUAAAGGGCUUGUAGGAGGGCAUGUAAGCCAGAAGUGAAAUCUGGGGGCUUAACCCCCAAAAUGCUUUUGGAACUGGGUGUCUUGAGUGAUGGAGAGGCAGGCGGAAUUCCUAGUGUAGCGGUGAAAUGCGUAGAUAUUGGGAGGAACACCAGUGGCGAAGGCGGCCUGCUGGACAGCAACUGACGCUGAGGCGCGAAAGUGUGGGGAGCAAACAGGAUUAGAUACCCAAGUAGUC